UGUGGUGGAGUAAAUGAUAGUGAUGGUAAAAAUGUAUAAGUGAUAAUAAAACUUACUUCUCAUUGCUCCUUAUAUUGCUAUCUCUCCUCUUCUUUAAUCUUUACUUUGGGAGAACAUGGGCUAUCUUUUUCUUUUCUCUCUUUUUUUAGGUGGGUAGUAGAUACCCCUAAUUCUACUGUCGGACACUUGUCCAUUUUUUCCGCUCAAGUGGGUAUCUUUGUACCCCUAAUUCUACUCCGGACACUUGUCCAUUUUUACCUCUCGUCUCACUCUCUUUCUUUCUUUCUUUUUCGAGGUUCCGGGCACUUGCCCCUUUUUAUUUCCUCGCAUAUUUUUGCAUAACCCAUGCCUCUUCUGCAUUGAAUCUUUUUGGAGAGAGAGAAUAAUAACACUUGGGACAGUGAGUGAUAAUAAUAUUUUUAGCAAUUUUAAUGAAUGGUGGUGGAUGGUGUAGCAGACGUGUGC
rnacentral:lncRNA from 1 species